rnacentral:rRNA from 1 species
CCAGGCUGUAAACGAUGCGGGCUAGGUGUCACCGGAGCUACGAGCUCCGGUGGUGCCGGAGGGAAGCCGUUAAGCCCGCCGCCUGGGAAGUACGGCCGCAAGGCUGAAACUUAAAGGAAUUGGCGGGGGAGCACUACAACGGGUGGAGCCUGCGGUUUAAUUGGAUUCAACGCCGGGAAGCUUACCGGGGGAGACAGCGGGAUGAAGGUCGGGCUGAAGACCUUACCAGACUAGCUGAGAGGUGGUGCAUGGCCGCCGUCAGUUCGUACUGUGAAGCAUCCUGUUAAGUCAGGCAACGAGCGAGACCCGCGCCCUCAGUUGCCAGCGGGUCCCUUCGGGGACGCCGGGCACACUGAGGGGACUGCCGGCGCUAAGCCGGAGGAAGGUGCGGGCAACGGCAGGUCCGUAUGCCCCGAAUCCCCCGGGCUACACGCGGGCUACAAUGGCCGGGACAAUGGGUACCGACCCCGAAAGGGGUGGGUAAUCUCCUAAACCCGGUCUAACCUGGGAUCGAGGGCUGCAACUCGCCCUCGUGAACCUGGAAUCCGUAGUAAUCGCGUCUCAAAAUGC